AGAGUUUGAUCAUGGCUCAGAUUGAACGCUGGCGGAAUGCUUUACACAUGCAAGUCGAACGGCAGCACGGGGCAACCUGGUGGCGAGUGGCGAACGGGUGAGUAAUACAUCGGAACGUGCCCAAUCGUGGGGGAUAACGUAGCGAAAGUUACGCUAAUACCGCAUACGAUCUACGGAUGAAAGCGGGGGAUCGCAAGACCUCGCGCGAAUGGAGCGGCCGAUGUCAGAUUAGGUAGUUGGUGGGGUAAAGGCUCACCAAGCCGACGAUCUGUAGCUGGUCUGAGAGGACGACCAGCCACACUGGGACUGAGACACGGCCCAGACUCCUACGGGAGGCAGCAGUGGGGAAUUUUGGACAAUGGGCGCAAGCCUGAUCCAGCCAUUCCGCGUGCAGGAUGAAGGCCUUCGGGUUGUAAACUGCUUUUGUACGGAACGAAACGGUUCUCUCUAAUACAGGGGGCUAAUGACGGUACCGUAAGAAUAAGCACCGGCUAACUACGUG
rnacentral:rRNA from 1 species